GAUAAAGAAACGCUAGAAUAUUAUAUUUUUGAUAAGAGCCCGAGAUUAUUGUAUUGGAAUUAUAAAAACUUUGACAAAACAACAUUAAGAAACUUCCAAACGUACGAAGGAGAGCAAGUUAAGAAAAACAAAGACUUUUAAAAGUUAAAAAAGAAAUUAACAGCUAUGAAAAUCAGUUUGGAAUCGUUGUGUGUACUUGUGUUUGUCUGUGUGGUAACGGUUUUAUCAGCACCCGCCAAAAAAAAUAUUG
rnacentral:lncRNA from 1 species